rnacentral:rRNA from 1 species
AACGAACGCUGGCGGCGCGCUUAACACAUGCAAGUCGAGCGCUCUGUAGCAAUACAGGGAGCGGCGAACGGGUGCGUAACACGUGGAUAAUCUGCCUCGAGGUCCGGGAUAACCAGCCGAAAGGUUGGCUAAUACCGGGUAAGCUCACAGGGUCCUUGGAUCUGGUGAGAAAAGGAGCAAUCCGCCACGAGAUGAGUCCGCGGCCCAUCAGCUAGUUGGCGGGGUAACGGCCCACCAAGGCAACGACGGG